rnacentral:rRNA from 1 species
GACGAACGCUGGCGGCGUGCUUAACACAUGCAAGUCGAACGGAAAGGCCCUGCUUGCAGGGUACUCGAGUGGCGAACGGGUGAGUAACACGUGGGUGAUCUGCCCUGCACUUCGGGAUAAGCCUGGGAAACUGGGUCUAAUACCGGAUAGGAGCCAUUUUUAGUGUGAUGGUUGGAAAGUUUUUUCGGUGUAGGAUGAGCUCGCGGCCUAUCAGCUUGUUGGUGGGGUAAUGGCCUACCAAGGCGGCGACGGGUAGCCGGCCUGAGAGGGUGGACGGCCACAUUGGGACUGAGAUACGGCCCAGACUCCUACGGGAGGCAGCAGGGGGGAAUAUUGCACAAUGGGCGCAAGCCUGAUGCAGCGACGCCGCGUGGGGGAGGACGGCCUUCGGGUUGGAAACUCCUUUCGCUAGGGACGAAGCUUUUUGUGACGGUACCUAGAGAAGAAGCACCGGCUAACUACGUG